CUGAUUCAACAUUAAGAAAACACAUAUACUCAAAUUUUAAUGAUGCAGAGAAUAUUAGCAUGGCCCCUGCAUGAGGAUGACAUGCAAAUUCAUGGAGUGUUUCAUAUUUUU
rnacentral:snRNA from 2 species